UACGUAGGGGGCAAGCGUUAUCCGGAAUUAUUGGGCGUAAAGAGUACGUAGGCGGUUCUUUAAGCGCAGGGUAUAAGGCUAUGGCUUAACCAUGGUUCGCCCUGUGAACUGGGGGACUUGAGUAUCGGAGAGGAAAGCGGAAUUCCUAGUGUAGCGGUGAAAUGCGUAGAUAUUAGGAGGAACACCAGUGGCGAAGGCGGCUUUCUGGACGAAAACUGACGCUGAGGUACGAAAGCGUGGGGAGCAAA
rnacentral:rRNA from 1 species